CAAUAGCGUAUAUUAAAGUUGUUGCGGUUAAAAAGCUCGUAGUUGGAUUUCUGCUGAGGACGAUCGGUCCGCCCACUGGGUGAGUAUCUGGCUCGGCCUUGGCAUCUUCUUGGAGAACGUUGCUGCACUUGACUGUGUGGUGCGGUAUCCAGGACUUUUACUUUGAGGAAAUUAGAGUGUUUCAAGCAGGCGCACGCCUUGAAUACAUUAGCAUGGAAUAAUAAGAUAGGACCUUGGUUCUAUUUUGUUGGUUUCUAGAGCUGAGGUAAUGAUUAAUAGGGAUAGUUGGGGGCAUUCGUAUUUAACUGCCAGAGGUGAAAUUCUUGGAUUUGUUAAAGACGGACUACUGCGAAAGCAUUUGCCAAGGAUGUUUUCAUUGA
rnacentral:rRNA from 1 species